UACGGAGGGUGCAAGCGUUAUCCGGAUUUACUGGGUUUAAAGGGUGCGCAGGCGGAUAUGUAAGUCAGUGGUGAAAUCUUUGGGCUUAACCCGAAAAUUGCCAUUGAUACUAUAUAUCUUGAAUGCUGUGGAGGUAAGCGGAAUAUGUCAUGUAGCGGUGAAAUGCUUAGAUAUGACAUAGAACACCUAUUACGAAGGCAGCUACUACGCAGAUAUUGACGCUCAUGCACGAAAGCGUGGGGAUCAAACAGG
rnacentral:rRNA from 1 species